UACAGAGGGUGCGAGCGUUGUCCGGAAUCACUGGGCGUAAAGGGCGCGUAGGUGGUGGCUUAAGCGUGCGGUGAAAGCUCGGGGCUCAACUCCGAGUCGGCCGUGCGAACUGGGCUCACUGGAGCAUAGUAGAGGCAGGUGGAAUUCCGGGUGUAGCGGUGGAAUGCGUAGAGAUCCGGCAGAAGACCGGUGGCGAAGGCGGCCAGCUGGGCAGUGACUGACGCUGGAGACGCGAAAGCGUGGGGAGCAAACAGG
rnacentral:rRNA from 1 species